UGCCAGUCUUUUAGCUCCCAGGGUAGGGAGCAGCUGUGUUGAUCCCAGGGCAGGGAGCCUGCCUGGAUGGAGAGGAUCAGGGAUCCGGGACCAUCGCCAGCUCCAGUGGGCUGUUUGCUCUGAUGUAGCCUCAGACCUGAGAUCAAUGGAGCAUCUGUGAAGACCUCAGCCAAGCCAGUCACCAGGAUGUGGACACCUACCAACUGAUGUCCCGAGGGAGCUGGAUUUCCCUGCGUCUGCUUAAGGGAACUGAACGAGGAUCCCCCACUUGAGCGCAAAGGACGGAGGGGACGAGACCUGGCUGCUGGAAGGGGUUGGGGUCCCACCUGGGGUCUAGCCAGGCCGAGUCAGAGCCAGAACAUGGGUUCACGGCAGCUUAGUCGGGCUCUGGGCUGAACAGGAGGGUCUGGGCUUUCACUGUUCUCUGCCACCCUGGGGGUUUCCUGGGCGGUGCUGGGUGACUAAUAAACUGCCAACGCCAUGUGUCGCGAGGGGCGUUAAUCCUGCAGAGGGGCCAGGUCUCACCCGGGGCCUGCACUCGCUGCAGGGAGCGCACGGGGGACAGCAGGCCCCGAGGUGCAGUCUGAGUGAGACCCAGAGGGGCUCUGGCCCACGAAAAGGCUCCUCCUAGAGACUGUUCCGAAGCUGGGUCCAUCGCCCUGCACCGGUCCCUAAACAGCCCCGUCCUGCUGGGCCCUGGUGUCCGUGCUCACGUCAAUGGGGAGUGAUAGCGCAGGCCGGGGCGAUGCCCCUCAAUCCUGACCCGCAGCCCCCUGCUAGCCCAGCCCUUUGAGAGGUGGCUUGGCUAGGCCCGGUGGAGCUGCUGCUCCAGCUCCCGCCG